rnacentral:rRNA from 1 species
AUUGAACGCUGGCGGCAUGCCUUACACAUGCAAGUCGAACGGCAGCGGGCCCUUCGGGGUGCCGGCGAGUGGCGAACGGGUGAGUAAUGCAUCGGAACGUACUCGGGUGAGGGGGAUAACAGGCUGAAAGGCCGGCUAAUACUGCAUGAACUCGGAAGCGCAAAGCGGGGGACCUUCGGGCCUUGCGCUCUCGGAGCGGCCGAGGCCCGUUUGGGCUAGUUGUUGGGGUAAUGGCCCACUAAGGCGACGUUCGGGAGCGGGUGUGAUGGGAGGGUGCCCCGCACGGGAACGGAGACACGCCCCAGGCGCCUAAGGGAGGCAGCAGUGGGGAAGCGGGGACAAUGGGCGCAAGUCUGGCCCAGCAGGGCCGCGUGGGUGAAGAAGGCCUUCGGGUUGGAAAGCCCGUUCGGCGGGGAAGAAAUCGGUCAGGCGAAUAGUCUGGCCGGAUGACGGUACCCGCAAAAGAAGCACCGGCUAACUACGUG